ensembl:lncRNA
AAAGAACUGAUCACUAAUCAAUAACCCAGAUACUGACUGAUGCAGAGAGCUGAUGAGAGGAGGCUGAAGGAUGACAGGUUGGGAGUUGAAGAACACCUGAGCAGAUUAAAGACUUCCUGCUCCGAGAGGACUCGAUCUUCAAACAUCUCAUUUAACCUGACUGUUACAAAACUUACCCUCAGGUACGUGCACCUCCUGCUCCUCUUCCUGCUCCUCGUCUUCGGCCAGCCCCGGGCUCAGGGGAGCGAUGAGUCCAGGAGGAGCAGCCGAGACGUCCACAGGAGUCAGGGGAGGCAUGCUGGUUGAAGGAGACGACUCGUGCUCGGAGAACAGAGGCACACUGGGUAGCAGGGCAGGGCGGUCGGUGGCGCAGGGCCCACAGCGUGACGUGUGACCCCUGCAGAGCUGCAGCAGAAUGCCCCCUGCUGGUUCAUCCACCCGGAUGGCGCCGCAGUGCCAGGAAACACCUGAGAGGGGGGAGGCGUACCUGUGAGCGCGUUCUGCUUCAAACAGUUAAUAACUCAGACAGCACCUGGCCAUGAAGCCAUCAACGGUCUCGAUGUCAGCACUGCAAUGAAUUCUGGGUAAAUUUAGACAUCUGUGAGAGAGAAAACAGCAGCUGUGUCCCAAAACGUGUGUUUACCUGGGCAGAAGGUGUUUCUAAUCAGCAGGUGUGGGACAGGAACAGGAAGUUCACCAUCUUCUCACCUGUGAGGUGGCUUCAGUACAAAGCCCGUGGACCGUGACUUCACCUGUGACUCCACCCAUGACUCUACGUUUGUGGCCGGGUGAGUGGCACGCCGACAGGCUCUAAACCCAAAGGCGGCGCUCGGCGACGAGGCACACACCCUUUUAUCCAACAUUCAUAGAGACACGCACCGUGAGCCAGUUUCCAUCAGAAACAUUGCGUCAGCCAAAGACUCUCCACCCUCAGCUUCAUCAGCUCCACGUGAAAGUGAAGCUUGUGUGGAAGGCCCAGAGCUGCAGGAGCAGACAGCCGGCUCAGUCUUUCCUGCUUCUCUUCCCUCUGCCGUUUAUUUCACUGCUGUGUAUGUGUGGAUCUGCGUGGCCUCUGGGUGCCACAGAGGACCUGGGCCCAGGUCUAGCCUGUGGAAUCAGGUUGCUCCUUCCUCAGGUCGAGCCCUUCAUCACACACACUGUUAUUACAGCUGCACUAUGGCGCAUCACUAUAGCGACCAGCGUAACGGCCUGUGUGUUGGCAGGCUUCCUGUGUUUGAGUCAGUUUGUGUUUCAUGUGCAGCUGGUUUGUUUUUAGGCUGCUUUACAGACACGUUGGACUGGACCUGAGUUUGAAGCUCCGUGUUUCAGAGAGCCCAGUUAUAAAUCAGAGAGUGUCUCAGCCACGGAGGCCCCGUCCCACCGAGUCUCACCUGAGUGUCUCCAGCUCAGCUGCUGAGUCAGCAGAUCCACCUGGACGGCGGCGUCCCUCCUCUCCACCGCCUGGCUCUGACAGCCCACCUCCUUCCUGUCCUCCUCGGGGCUCUCCCACUGGCAGCCCACCUCCUUGCUCCUCCUCUCCUCCCUCCUGUGACCGUCAACAAUCAUCUGGAACACCUGCAGGGGGCACCACAGAGAACAAGCGUCAUAAUCACAUCAUACAGGGCGUCACACAGCUGGACAUCCAAUCAGCCACAGGAGGAAGUUCAAACCAGCUUUGAGCCGACUGCACCACCCAGCAUCUGUGGGUGGAGCCACUGUGACAGCACGAUACCACGGUCUGCGACUGAUGACAUCAGAAUAGACCUGAAUAGACCAGAUCUGAUUGGCUACCUCCCUCAGUACUGUAACUGCAGCUGAUUUAAGGUGGAAUGACUUCACUCAGCUCAGUUGGAAACACAGAAGUGUCCCCGUGUAAGCUGGGGUCAUACUAACACGGUGACAUCACUGCAGAGACCGGAGCCGUCCACCAAUGACAGCAGCCAUGAGAUGGGCUCAAACCCACAGGGAGUCUCGGAGCUCCUGCAGGAGCAGCCUGUGGAGACGCAGAGCUGUUUAAACCUGACGAUCUUCAUAUAAAGAAAAGUAAAGGUGCUUUUCUA